AGGAGCUAACGCAGGGAACUGAAACAUCUUAGUACCUGCAGGAAAAGAAAAUAACAAUGAUUCCCCCAGUAGUGGCGAGCGAACGGGGAAUAGCCCAAACCAUUCAUGUUACGGCAUGGAUGGGGUUGUAGGACCACGGCGUUGCAAGAGAUCUUGUGAGAAGAACAGCCUGGAAAGACUGACCAGAGACGGUGACAGUCCGGUAUUCGAAGCAAGACGAAGCAUAGUGGUAUCCUGAGUAGCGCGGAACACGAGGAAUUCUGCGUGAAUCUGCCGGGACCAUCCGGUAAGGCUAAAUACUCCCGAGAGACCGAUAGUGGACCAGUACCGUGAGGGAAAGGUGAAAAGCACUUCGAACAGAAGAGUGAAAGAGUACCUGAAACCGUGCGCCUACAAGCGGUCGGAGCACGAAAGUGUGACGGCGUGCCUUUUGCAUAAUGAACCUACGAGUUACCGUAUCUGGCAAGGUUAAGGGUCACGAGACCUGCAGCCGAAGCGAAAGCGAGUCUGAAGAGGGCGUCGAGUCAGUUGCGGUAGACGCGAAACCAAGUGAUCUACCCUUGGCCAGGAUGAAGUCUGGGUAACACCAGAUGGAGGUCCGCACCAAUAAGCGUUGAAAAGCUUCUGGAUGAGCUGAGGGUAGGGGUGAAAGGCUAAUCAAACUUGGAGAUAGCUCGUACUCCCCGAAAUGCAUUUAGGUGCAGCCUCGCGGGUUACUGAUGUGAGGUAGAGCGACUGAUUGGAUGCGAGGGCUUCACCGCCUAUCAAGUCCUGACAAACUCCGAAUGCGCAUCAGUUUUACCGCGGGAGUGAGGGCAUGGGUGCUAAGGUCCGUGCCCGAGAGGAGAAGAAUCCGGACUAUCAGCUAAGGCCCCGAAAUGACAGCUAAGUUAAACUAACGAAGUCUGAUUGCUAAGACAGCUAGGAUGUUGGCUUGGAAGCAGCCAUUCAUUUAAAGAGUGCGUAACAGCUCACUAGUCGAGGAAUCGGGCGUGGAUAAUAAUCGGGUAUGAAGUUGUCUGCCGAAGCUAUAGAAUCAGCAAUGAUUGGUAGGGGAGCAUUCCAUUCGGCGUUGAAGGCGUGGCGUGAGCCAUUCUGGAGCGUAUGGAAAAGCAAAUGUAGGUAUAAGUAACGAUAAAGGGGGUGAGAAACCCCCUCGCCGAAAGACUAAGGUUUCCUGAUCAACGCUAAUCGGAUCAGGGUAAGUCGGGUCCUAAGGUUCAGCCGAACGGCGAGACCGAUGGCAGAAACGGUUAAUAUUCCGUUACUACCUUUGAGGGUGACGUGGGGACGCAGGAGUGACACCGCCGCCGGUUGACGGAAUAGCCGGUUAAAGAGUGUAGACGUUGAUUUCCGCAGGCAAAUCCACGGAAAGAGUCGAACUUGACAGUAUGGAACGUCCUUCGGGACAAUCCAAUAGUGCGGGUAAGCAGACUGCCUAGAAAAUCCGCUAAACAUAACUUCAGAGGUACCCGUACCGCAAACGGACACACGUAGUCGGGUUGAAUAUACUAAGGCGCUUGAGUGAAUCACGGUUAAGGAACUAGGCAAACUGACCCUGUAACUUCGGGAUAAAGGGUCCCUACCCAGAAAUGGGAGGGCGCAGAGAAUAGGUCCAGGCAACUGUUUAACAAAAACACAGGGCUGUGCCAAUAUGAAAGUAGACGUAUACAGCCUGACACCUGCCCGGUGCUGGAAGGUUAAGAGGAGAUGUCAUCGCAAGAGAAGCAUUGAAUUGAAGCCCCAGUAAACGGCGGCCGUAACUAUAACGGUCCUAAGGUAGCGAAAUUCCUUGUCGGGUAAGUUCCGACCUGCACGAAUGGUGUAAUGAUCCGGACGCUGUCUCAACCGUGAGCUCAGUGAAAUUGUAGUAUCGGUGAAGAUGCCGAUUACCCGCGAUGGGACGAAAAGACCCCGUGAACCUUUACUAUAGCUUAGCAUUGAAUUUGGGCACGCGAUGUGUAGGAUAGGUCGGAGGCUUUGAAGCAGGCACGCCAGUGUUUGUGGAGCCGCUGUUGAAAUACGACCCUUCGUUUGUUUGAGUUCUAACUUCGGUUUGAAGGACAUUGCUUGGUGGGUAGUUUGACUGGGGUGGUCGCCUCCAAAAGCGUAACGGA
rnacentral:rRNA from 1 species